CAUUUUUUGCCCUUGUCUACGUUGCCACCUGUCGGUGACCCCUUUAGCAUAUAAAAGGAGGCCCAUGCGCAAUGUAGAGGGGGGUCGAGGUCAGAAAACAUUCACGCUCGGUCUUGUUAGCAGCUGGUGUGUACUGUAACACUCAGCGCUCCCGAGCAAGAACUCAAUACACUCAGACAUGCAGCAGUAGGAGUAUUAUCUCUCCGGAGAGCUCCGAAGCUGGGUAAACCGCUCGUGUGCUUCGCCUCGAUCUGCUCUUCGUGCGAUCUCCGCCCCCCCACCGAACCGAAAGGGGCUCGGUUCGCCGGUCCCAUAGGUGUUCGUGGAUCAGUUUCCCCGACAGCGACUUUAUAAAGGGCACACUUUCUUGCCUAGGUUCUCAUCUUGCAGCGUCGUUGGUCCGUCUCCCAAAUUCCGGCGGCGCCCACACCCCCACCAGCGGCCACCUCUAGCCUGAGGCCCGAAAGGCACGCCCGAAGAGAUGCAGCCAUGGAGCUAAGCAUCGCCAGCCUCAUGAGCCCGCACAGCCUGCGGGAGCCCCUAUGCCUGGAAGCGACGGAAGUGCUUUUUGAUCGUGCGUGCCUCUCGGACGGCCGGCGUGCGUGAUGUGGCGGCAGCAAGGGCGGGGUCUUCCUUGUGCGCGUGCGUGUGGUGGUGCAUGUGAGCGUUGGACUGCGGAGGCUGCGGCGACCUCGAGCACGACUACGCGGCGCAAGAUUUAGUGGAGCAGGAGCUGGCCGUGGUCGGGCAGGUUCGGGGCGCACGUGCAGUCGCGCAGGUGCUCGGGAAACCACACGCGUGAUAGAAGCAGGACCUGUCUUGCCGAGCCAGCCGCAUAACCUUGCAGUUGCAGGGCCGAGCUGCUCCCUGUCUUUGCUUUUCCCCCAGGACUUCAGUUUACUCAAGAAACCAAGUAGGUGAUCAUGGAGGUUGACACAAGUACAUGCCAAGUCAGCGUAAAGCUGAGAUGGGAAACCAAAUUGAGCAACUUCAGAAGCGUAAUGCACUAUCCAAGGUAGACCACGAUAGCAGGUAGUCUUGUCAUCUUGCAUCUUUCUUUUUCGAGGAAUUUUGCAUCUUCAUAUAUCUCAUGCAUUGCUUAUAGCUGUGGUACAGAACAUGUAAUGGAAGACUAUUCUUUUUCUUAAUGCAUUUGUAACCUCUGUUUAUUAUACUGUAGAGAAGAGAACCACAUAAUCUUGAUACUAAUAGUUUCAUUUCCAUAAUGGUACAAAAAAGCUGUCUGUAGUUUCCAGAUAUCUUGUCGAUGUUAGCCAGGAAGAGCACCAAAGGAAUGAGCCUAUGGUAUACACCGGAAGCAAGCCACCAAGGGCCUCUUGAGAAGAGGUAGCUUCAGCACUGUACCACUAGAUCAUAGAGACCGACCCAGCUGGAGGAUCGACGUCUCAGUUCUACCUAUAGAAUAUACAGGCAAUGGUACCAUUGUAAACUUGUAGUCUCGCCUACCAUCAUGUAUCUUAAGGAUGUAGCACUAAUGCUGAAACCAUAUAUAACUAUAUCCAUAAAUAUCUAU